UCUCUGGAUUCCAGAAGGCAUGAGGACCCAGAUGCUAUACAGUGGGAAAACCAGCCUGGCAACAUAAGCUCACAAGCUAUCAGAAAGUUGUAUGGCAACCACCUCCGGCGCCAAAUAGAACUGGCAGACAUAGACAUUCAGUACAAGAAGAAAAAGAUGGAAAAUCUUGCACUGGAGUCCGAAAUAAUAAAAAAGAGGACAAUUGGAAAACUGGACCUUGAAAUAAAAAAACUUGAGAGGGAGCUCCAAGAAGAUGACACAGCUCAAAAUAAAAAUUAGCAAUCAGUACAACCAAGUCAUCGUUAUAAGGCAUCGCCCUCUUUUGCCCACCCCCCCAGCACCAGGUGUGGCCACUAGCCUAUAUGAAGGCCCAAAAUUGUGUGUUCCUUUCUGCUCUGACAAUGGCAUGCCCAUUCGUGCGAGAUGUGGUGGAUGAAGAAGCACUUGUGCUGAGGAGAGCCUUCAGGCGAGAAAGGGUCUUCAGGGACCGGUUGGACCCACUGGCCUUCCCUGAUGACCAUCUAUAUGAAAGAUACAGGUUUUCUGCAGAUGGCAUCAGGUAUCUAUGCAGACUACUGGGUCCCAGGAUUAAGCACCGCACUGCACGGAGCCAUGCACUGAGUGUGGAGCAAAUGGUUUGUGUGGCCUUGCGCUUUUUUGCUAGUGGAGCCUUCCUGUACUCAGUGGGGGAUGCAGAACAGCUGAACAAGGCCACAAUUUGCCGCACAAUAAGGAGUGUGUGUCUGGCUAUCAAAGCAUUAGCAGAUGUCUUCAUCUCCUUCCCUGGCCACAGAAGACUCUGUGACAUCAAAGAGGAGUUCUAUAGGAUUGCAGGUUUCCCCAAUGUCAUUGGUGCAGUGGACUGCACACACAUAAGGAUAAAAGCCCCUCAGGUGCCCAUGAGGCCGAUUUUGUGAAUAGGAAAUCCUUUCACAGCAUUAAUGUUCAGAUGGUCUGCAAUGCUGACUGUGUGAUCAGCAAUGUUGUGGCAAAAUGGCCUGGCUCAGUCCAUGACUCCAGAAUCUUUCGGGCCUCUGAAAUCUAUCACAAGGUGAAUUCUCUGGUGUGUUGCUGGGAGACAGGGGGUAUGGCUGCCAGCCUUUUCUCCUGACACCUUUCACAGACCCCCAGGAAGCACAGCAGGCCUACAACCAUGCCCAUGCCAGGACCAGGGCCAGAGUUGAAAUGACCUUUGGCCUCCUGAAGGCACGCCUUCACUGCCUUCACAAACUAAGGGUCAGCCCUGUUAGGGCAUGUGAUAUUACUGUGGCUUGUGCUGUCCUCCACAAUGUGGCCUGCCUGAGGAAGGAGAGGGCCCCAGAGUGCCACCAGCCAUGGACUGGGACAAUCCGGCAAUCUUCCCUGAUGACGACAGUGGUCGGCUGCUGAGGGACCAAUAUGUGUUGAAUUAUUUUAGUUAGUAUGUGUGCUUUCAAUUUUGGUUAAAUAUGUCCUGCGGUGGCAGAGGAAUUUGGGUUUUUUUGGGUUCGUUUUUUGACGAAUUUGGCCUCUUAUGAUGUUUGUGCGGUAUACUGUGUGUAAUACAAGGCUGCAGGGAGGCUACUGCAUCCAUUCAUUUGCCUGUUCAGUUGAUGUGUAUGGAUUUGUCCUGCAUUUAUUUUAGUGUGCAGACAUGCAGGGUGUGUUACAUACACAUUCAAAGGUCUGUAUAUAUCAUUUUGUAUAAUAUGCUUGGAUUCUGUGCUUUCCAUCUUGUAGAGUCACUGUGACUUCAGUUUUGAAAGGAGCUGAUGGUUUACCUGCUUUGUUUUGUCCUUAUUCAAUAAAGGAACAUAAUGUUACACAUUGUGUUUUUAUAUUCA